rnacentral:rRNA from 1 species
UACAGAGGGUGCGAGCGUUACUCGGAAUUACUGGGCGUAAAGCGCGCGUAGGCGGCUUUGCAAGUCGGGUGUGAAAUCCCCGGGCUCAACCCGGGAACUGCGUCCGAUACUGGAAGGCUUGAAUCCGGGAGAGGGAUGCGGAAUUCCAGGUGUAGCGGUGAAAUGCGUAGAUAUCUGGAGGAACACCGGUGGCGAAGGCGGCAUCCUGGACCGGUAUUGACGCUGAGGCGCGAAAGCCAGGGGAGCAAACGGG